rnacentral:rRNA from 1 species
AUGUCCCCGUCGACGCUGAUGGAUUUUCCUUCUAGAAUACAACGUCGACUAGUCGGUAAUCAGCGAGCUUGCCAGCGGACGAAGAAAAUCCACGCCAAGAUAAAACCAAGAACACAACGUAAGAGGCAUCCACUUGUCCUCCAUUCUACUGUCAAUAUUGGUACACUCCUAGCUGCUAAGAAAAAUAUCAUCAGCUGGAAAAGGGACCCCAUCCCCUGCAUGGUCUGUUUCUUAAUUUGGACUUUUGACAGUCAAAUAUGGCAGUGUGGUAACUCAAUUCAAUGGGAAUUACAGUGGGUAGAUGGUAAUUUAGAAAUCUUCGGGUCGAAGGAAACCAAUCAAGUCCUGUUUGUUUCUCCCCAAUUAUACUUCUAA